GGGGAGGGUCAUCCCUUACGAGCGAACUAGAGUACGGAAGAGGUGGGGGGAAUUCGUGGUGUAGCGGAGAUAUGAGUAGAUAUCAGGAGGAACACCGCAGUCGAAGGCGCCCAUCUGGUCCGUGACUGACGAUGAGGCGCGAAAGGUAGGGGAGCGAACGGGAUUAGAUACCCCGGUAGUCCUAGCCGUAAACGGUGGGCAGUAGGUGUGGCAGGCAUCGACCCGUCCAGAGCACGCAGAUAACGCAUUAAGUGCGAGGCCUGGGGAGUGCGGCCGCAAGGAUGAAACUCAAAGGAAUUGACGCGGGCCCGCGCAAGCGGUGGAGCAUGUGGUUCAAUUCGCAGCACCGCGAAGAACCUUACCCAGGCUGGGCAUGCAUCGGGCCGCAGAGGAAACACACCUCUCCUUCGGGACUAGCGCACAGGUCAUGCAUGGCGGUAGUCAGCUUGUGUCGAGAGAUGUUGGGGUAAGUCCCGCAACGAGCGCAACCCUUGCUGUUAGCAGCUAGCGAGUAAUGUGGAGCACUCUAGAAGGACGGCCGGCGGUAAGCCGGAGGAAGGGGGGGACGAAGUCAAGUCCUCAUGGCCCUUACGCGUGGGGAUACACACGUCAUACAAUGGUCGACACAGAGGGCAGCGAUAGCGCGAGGUGGAGCCAAUACCAAAAAGUCGCCCUCAGUUCGGAUGGCAGUCAGCAACUCGACUGCAAGAAGGAGGAAUCGGUAGUCAUGGAUCAUCUACGGGCAGCGGAGAGUGCUCUUGAGCGCCGUGCACACCGCCCGCCACGCCCCGGAAGAGGGGAGUACCCCUAAGUCGCGGUGCCAUACCAUCCAUGAGGCACCCGCCCAC
rnacentral:rRNA from 1 species